GUAAACCACUGUCGGGAGGGACGAAUCGCGAACGGGCGACAGCCCGGCGCUUGACGGUACCUCCAAGGAAGCACCGGCUAACUCCGUGCCUAGCAGCCGCGGUAAAGACGGAGGGUGCAAGCGUUGUUCGGAAUUACUGGGCGUAAAGCGCGGGCAGGUGGCCUUUUAAGUCCUUUAGUGAAAUUCCGGAGCUCAACUCCGGGAUGUGCAUAGGAUACUGGAAGGCUAGAGACUGGUAGAGGCGAGCGGAAUUCCUGGUGUAGCGGUGGAAUGCGUAGAUAUCAGGAAGAACACCGGUGGCGAAGGCGGCUCGCUGGGCCAGUUCUGACACUCAUCCGCGAAAGCGUGGGGAGCAAACAGGAUUAGAUACCCUGGUAGUCCACGCCGUAAACGAUGGGCACUAGAGUGCCGGGCCUAUAGACGGGUUCGGUGUCGCAGCUAACGCAUUAAGUGCCCCGCCUGGGGAGUACGGCCGCAAGGCUG
rnacentral:rRNA from 1 species